rnacentral:lncRNA from 1 species
GCAGGACGAGUACAAGUGGUAGAGCGCCAAUUCUGUAUGCGAGGAGGAUGGUCACCAUUACCAUUCAUUUUCACAUUAACAUUUUGGUCAGUCAAAGAUAUCUCACAUGCAAGGCAUUUGUGCAGGGAAGUGAUGGAGGGGUUUGGUUUCAUCAGGGGUUGUGUAGGUGGGGUUUCAUCUUUGUUUAAGUUUGCAUCAGCAAACUUGGGGCUAGCAUAAAGGUUUCUUACUAGGAGGCAUUUGAAAAGAAACCUCAUCGAGUAGUCAUAGGCAUGGAGGAACUACAAGACCGCCAAGUUUCAGCUCACGGAGAGGAGUGUAGCUGGCACUUGUAGUUCAAAGCUUCAUUUCUACCAAAAGUCAAGUUUUAGAAGCGAUGCUCAUAUUUUCCACAUGAGCAUGUAAAAUGGUGCAUUAACACAAUAGAGAUGCCGUG